rnacentral:rRNA from 1 species
UACGUAGGGGACAAGCGUUGUCCGGAUUUACUGGGCGUAAAGAGCGCGCAGGCGGUCGAUCAAGUCGAGUGUGAAAGCCCCCGGCUCAACUGGGGAGGGUCACGCGAUACUGAUCGACUCGAAGGCAGGAGAGGGUAGUGGAAUUCCCGGUGUAGUGGUGAAAUGCGUAGAUAUCGGGAGGAACACCAGUGGCGAAGGCGACUACCUGGCCUGUUCUUGACGCUGAGGCGCGAAAGCUAGGGGAGCAAACGGG